UUGGAAUGAAGGUUGAGAAUGGAAGGAGUUGGAGUUGGGAAUGAAAGAGGUAAGGAUGAAGGCUAGGAAUGGAGAGAAUAAGGACUAGGAACGAGGAGGGUUAAGAUUCUAAUGAAGGUUUUUAGACAUGAUCCAUUUUUCUAAUGAUGGUUACAAUAGAAUGGAUUUAUUUUGUAAAUAGGUAGGUCACUUUGAUAUUUCUCUCUC
rnacentral:lncRNA from 1 species